rnacentral:rRNA from 1 species
UACAGAGGUCUCAAGCGUUGUUCGGAUUCAUUGGGCGUAAAGGGUGCGUAGGCGGCUUGUUGCGUCGGCUGUGAAAACCCGCGGCUUAACCGUGGGCUUGCAGCCGAUACGGGCGGGCUGGAGUUCGGUAGGGGAGACUGGAAUUCCUGGUGUAGCGGUGAAAUGCGCAGAUAUCAGGAGGAACACCGGUGGCGAAGGCGGGUCUCUGGGCCGAUACUGACGCUGAGGAGCGAAAGCGUGGGGAGCGAACAGG